rnacentral:rRNA from 1 species
GACGGAAGGUGCAAGCGUUGCUCGGAAUCACUGGGCGUAAAGGGUGCGUAGGCGGCCUCUUAAGUCUAGCGUGAAAGCCCAGGGCUUAGCCCUGGAAGUGCUCUAGAAACUGAGAGGCUAGAGUGCCGGAGGGGAGAGUGGAAUUCCCGGUGUAGCGGUGAAAUGCGUAGAUAUCGGGAGGAAUACCGGUGGCGAAAGCGACUCUCUGGACGGCAACUGACGCUGAGGCACGAAAGCGUGGGGAGCAAACAGG